AGAGUUUGAUCCUGGCUCAGAUUGAACGCUGGCGGAAUGCUUUACACAUGCAAGUCGAACGGCAGCACGGACUUCGGUCUGGUGGCGAGUGGCGAACGGGUGAGUAACAUAUCGGAACGUAUCCAAUAAUGGGGGAUAACUAAUCGAAUGGUUGGCUAAUACCGCAUACGCCCUACGGGGGAAAGCUAGGGACCUUCGGGCCUGGCGUUAAUGGAGCGGCCGAUAUCUGAUUAGCUAGUUGGUGAGGUAAAGGCUCACCAAGGCGACGAUCAGUAGCUGGUCUGAGAGGACGACCAGCCACACUGGAACUGAGACACGGUCCAGACUCCUACGGGAGGCAGCAGUGGGGAAUUUUGGACAAUGGGCGCAAGCCUGAUCCAGCCAUUCCGCGUGAGUGAAGAAGGCCUUCGGGUUGUAAAGCUCUUUCGCAAGGGAAGAAAACUUAGUUACUAAUAUUAACUGAGGUUGACGGUACCUUGAUAAGAAGCACCGGCUAACUACGUGCCAGCAGCCGCGGUAAUACGUAGGGUGCGAGCGUUAAUCGGAAUUACUGGGCGUAAAGCGUGCGCAGGCUGUUUUGUAAGUCAGAUGUGAAAUCCCCGAGCUCAACUUGGGAACUGCGUUUGAAACUACAAGACUAGAAUAUGUCAGAGGGGGGUAGAAUUCCACGUGUAGCAGUGAAAUGCGUAGAGAUGUGGAGGAAUAUCAAUGGCGAAGGCAGCCCCCUGGGAUAAUAUUGACGCUCAUGCACGAAAGCGUGGGGAGCAAACAGGAUUAGAUACCCUGGUAGUCCACGCCCU
rnacentral:rRNA from 1 species